CCUACGGGUGGCAGCAGUGAGGAAUAUUGGUCAAUGGCCGCGAGCCUGACCCAGCCAAGUCGCGUGAAGGAAGACGGCCCUACGGGUUGUAAACUUCUUUUAUAAGGGAGUAAAGUGAGGCACAUGUGCCUCAUUGUAUGUACCUAAUGAAUAAGCAUCGGCUAACUCCGUGCCAGCAGCCGCGGUAAUAAGGAGGAUGCGAGCGUUAUCCGGAUUUAUUGGGGUUAAAGGGAGCGGAGAUGGGAGGUGAAGUCAGUUGUCAAAAUUUGCGGCUCAACCUCAGAAUUGCAAUUGAUACUGGAUCUCUUGAGUAUAGGAGAGGUAAGCGGAAUGCGUGGUGUAGCGGUGAAAUGCAGAGAUAUUACGCAGAACUCCGAUUGCGAAGGCAGAUUACUGGACUGCAACUGACGGUGAGGCGCGAAAGCGUGGGUAGCAAACAGGAUUAGAUACCCUAGUAGUC
rnacentral:rRNA from 1 species